rnacentral:lncRNA from 1 species
UUCAACACCAUUGCAUGGUUCACAAAAACUCCAACUCUGUAACAACAUACCAACUGCCCUAGAGCAAGUGGCAAAGGAUUUGAUAGUUGGUACCCGAGGUCCCAAGUUCGAAUCCUAGUUGAUUUACAUUUCCAGCUAAGUUUAUUUCUAAAUAAAAUAAACGAAGCGGGUAGCGUACUACCUAUCUCUCAAAAAAAAACUCUGUAACAACAUUCUAGCGAUUUCUAAUCUUUUGUACAUGAAUUCGCCGCCGCUAAAAGCAGUCCCCAAAUGGGCCCUCUUUUGUGGUACCCGGCCCAAGAGGCCUUGUUAACAAUUUUAUUGGGCCAGGCCUGGCCGAGCCGGUUUUAUCGUGAAAUUCAUGCAGUCAAAAAAGAGUGCUAAUAAUCUCCUCAACAAUUGGUUUUUUUCCCAGUGAAAAUUUAGGCUUUGUAAUAUAAAAUAACUGUACGGGCACAAGCAAGUAGAUAUUGAGAGUAAAGCUCCUAUACUAUUAAGAGUAUAACAGUUUUUGUGCUCUUAACUUUCUAAUCAUUCAUCAAUUUUGAUGGAUGAUUAAGAUAAGAGAGAAAAGAAAAAUUGAAAAGAAAUUUUUUUAAGAAAAGAGAAAUUGAGACAUGCAAUUUUUUCUUAAUUUUUUUUCUCUCUUCUACUCUAACCACCUUCGAAAUUGAUGAAUGGUUAAACAGUUAGGAGCACAAGAACUGUUGUACUCUUAAUAACACAGUAAUUCUGCUCAGAUAUUGAUUUAAAAGACUUUAGCAAUAUC